UUUUGUGGUGUUUUUCUACUCUGCGACAAACUGAAAAGAUUCUCGCACAUGCUAAUUUAACAACCCUGCUUCGUCGUCUUCUUUCCCCCCCUCCCUCUUCUGCUUCCAGGAUAAUUAAAAGAGAAACCUGUAAAGGCAACAUUCCUUCAAGCAAGUUGGCGCUGCAACGUGCUGGCUCUUGUCAGCAGGGCAGAGCUGAGUGUCCAGCAGAAGUCCCAUCAGCAAGGGAUCCUCAACAUACUUCAGGCUCAGUCCACUUCCAAAUUCAUUGCUGGUGGCAUCAUCUAAGACAUGAUCUUCCCAGAUCUCUCCAAACACAGCCAGACCCCUUCCACAGCCCAAAAGCUGGCCUCUGAUACAUAUAAAGCAGACAUAUUGAUCCAGGAUGGUUUCACCAUGCAAAUUCUAAACAAAUUCAUCCUGUUCAAGUGGACCAAGAGCAGACGAUACAGCAGAGAAACUGCAAGACAACUAGAAGACCGAAAUGCAAGCCUUCAUCCAGAAAGACUAUGAGGAUCGGCCUAAAGUCAGUUGACGAUAGGCUGAAUCUACCAGAAGCUCUUGGCCUGUGAAUGUAGGACAAAAAAAGCCAGAACAAAACUUCUAAGUGCUGGACAGUGUCGGAACUGCUACCAGCACCCAUUUCAGUAGGGGACAAAGCACUAUGGACCUGCAGGAAUUUUGUCCACUAAAACUUUUUUCCAAUACUUUAAGCUGUAUUUUCAGUUACUCGAAAAAAUGAUGUAUUCUGGAUCUUCUUCCAAUGACUGUGUUGGUUAGGGUCUACAUGGAUAUUUUCUGAAACAGGCCACGCAACUGUUAUUUUUCCCUCAAUGAUGUAAUACCUCUGCAACCAUAAUCAUUCCUUGUUCUUAGUGUUCUCAUAUUAGGCCUCAACUGAUGAACAUUCACUGUUUAUGAAAAAUAAAUGUGUUUCAGCUGG